GACGAACCGUACGAACGUUAUUCGGAAUCACUGGGCUUAAAGGGUGCGUAGGCUGCGCAGAAAGUUGGGUGUGAAAUCCCUCGGCUUAACCGAGGAACUGCGCCCAGAACUACUGUGCUCGAGGGAGACAGAGGUGAGCGGAACUUAGGGUGGAGCGGUGAAAUGCGUUGAUAUCCUAAGGAACACCGGUGGCGAAAGCGGCUCACUGGGUCUCUUCUGACGCUGAGGCACGAAAGCUAGGGGAGCGAACGGG
rnacentral:rRNA from 1 species